UACGAGGGGGGCAAGCGUUGUUCGGAAUUAUUGGGCGUAAAGGGCGCGUAGGCGGUGUCGCAAGUCCGUGGUGAAAUCUCUAGGCUCAACUUAGAGACUGCCGCGGAAACUGCGGUGCUUGAGUGUGGGAGAGGUGCGUGGAAUUCCCGGUGUAGCGGUGAAAUGCGUAGAUAUCUGGAGGAACACCGGUGGCGAAGGCGGCAUCCUGGACCGGCACUGACGCUGAGGAGCGAAAGCCAGGGGAGCAAACGGG
rnacentral:rRNA from 1 species